rnacentral:lncRNA from 1 species
GUGCUGUGUACCUCCAGGGCAUAGGAAGACUUGAUGGAACAAAUGAAUGAAUGGAAACACUACAGUCAUUGUCAUGUGAACACACUUGAGCUAGCCUGGUAGAAAAAUCUGGACCCACCACCUCUGUAACCCCAGCUGACUAUUAACCAAUGGUCCACAACAACUUCCAGACAACUGUGAAUGAGGCUAUCUCAGACUAUCCAGCCAAACCUGCCCAGACCAGAGGAAUGACCCAGACAAUGUCAUCCUGAGAGAAGAAUGUUCUUGUCUUUGAAUUCUCCUUCUCGGAAUGGUAGCUGGCACCUAAUGGGCAUUCAUGGGAAUGCACAUACACCUCGCUUUUCCCCAGGCAUUCUGGGUCAUGUUGUCA